UUCGUCCUACGGGGCGCAGCAGUGGGGAAUAUUGCACAAUGGGGGAAACCCUGAUGCAGCGACGCCGCGUGAGUGAAGAAGUAUUUCGGUAUGUAAAGCUCUAUCAGCAGGGAAGAAAAUGACGGUACCUGACUAAGAAGCCCCGGCUAACUACGUGCCAGCAGCCGCGGUAAUACGUAGGGGGCAAGCGUUAUCCGGAUUUACUGGGUGUAAAGGGAGCGUAGACGGCAGCGCAAGUCUGAAGUGAAAUCCCAUGGAUUAACCAUGGAACUGCUUUGGCAACUGUGCAGCUGGAGUGCAGGAGG
rnacentral:rRNA from 1 species